UACAGAGGGUGCAAGCGUUAAUCGGAUUUACUGGGCGUAAAGCGCGCGUAGGCGGCUAAUUAAGUCAAAUGUGAAAUCCCCGAGCUUAACUUGGGAAUUGCAUUCGAUACUGGUUAGCUAGAGUGUGGGAGAGGAUGGUAGAAUUCCAGGUGUAGCGGUGAAAUGCGUAGAGAUCUGGAGGAAUACCGAUGGCGAAGGCAGCCAUCCGGCCUAACACUGACGCUGAGGUGCGAAAGCAUUGGGAGCAAACAGG
rnacentral:rRNA from 1 species